rnacentral:rRNA from 1 species
GAGAUGUGGAGGAACACCAGUGGAGAAGGCGGGUCUCUGUUGUGUAUCUCACGCUGAGGCGCGAGAGAGUGGGGAGCGAACAGGAUUAGAUACCCUGGUAGUGCACGCCGUAAACGAUGAGUGCUAAGUGUGAGAGGGGUUAAUCCCUUCAGUGCUGUAGCUAACGCACUAAGCACUCCGCCCGGGGGGUACGCUCGCAAGAGUGAGAAUCAAAAAAAAAAACGGGGGGCCGCACACGCGGUGGAGCAUGUGGUGUAAUUCGAAGCAACGCGAAGAACCUUACCAGGUGUUGACAUCCCCUGACAACCCGAGAGAUGAGGGGUUCCCCUUCGGGGGACAGGGUGACAGGUGGUGCAUGGUUGUCGUCAGCUCGUGUCGUGAGAUGUUGGGUUAAGUCCCGCAACGAGCGCAACCCUUGACCUUAGUUGCCAGCAUUGAGUUGGGCACUCUAAGGUGACUGCCGCUGACAAAUCGGAGGAAGGUGGGGAGGACGUCAAAUCAUCAUGCCCCUUAUGACCUGGGCUACACACGUGCUACAAUGGGCGGUACAAAGGGGUGCGAACCCGCGAGGGGGAGCGAAUCCCAAAAAACCGCUCUCAGUUCGGAUUGCAGGGUGCAACUCGCCUGCAUGAAGCCGGAAUAGCUAGUAAUCGCGGAUCAGCAUGCCGCGGUGAAUACGUUCCCGGGCCUUGUACACACCGCCCGUCACACCACGAGAGUUUGCAACACC